rnacentral:rRNA from 1 species
CACGGUCCAAACUCCUACGGGAGGCAGCAGUGAGGAAUAUUGGUCAAUGGACGAGAGUCUGAACCAGCCAAGUAGCGUGAAGGAUGACUGCCCUAUGGGUUGUAAACUUCUUUUAUACGGGAAUAAAGUGAGCCACGUGUGGCUUUUUGUAUGUACCGUAUGAAUAAGGAUCGGCUAACUCCGUGCCAGCAGCCGCGGUAAUACGGAGGAUCCGAGCGUUAUCCGGAUUUAUUGGGUUUAAAGGGAGCGUAGGCGGGUUGUUAAGUCAGUUGUGAAAGUUUGCGGCUCAACCGUAAAAUUGCAGUUGAUACUGGCGACCUUGAGUGCAACAGAGGUAGGCGGAAUUCGUGGUGUAGCGGUGAAAUGCUUAGAUAUCACGAAGAACUCCGAUUGCGAAGGCAGCUUACUGGAUUGUAACUGACGCUGAUGCUCGAAAGUGUGGGUAUCAAACAGGAUUAGAUACCCUGGUAGUCCACACAGUAAACGAUGAAUACUCGCUGUUGGCGAUAUACUGUCAGCGGCCAAGCGAAAGCAUUAAGUAUUCCACCUGGGGAGUUA